rnacentral:rRNA from 1 species
AGCUCCAAUAGCGUAUAUUAAAGUUGUUGCAGUUAAAAAGCUCGUAGUCGAAUUUCGGGCAAGGUCCGCUGGUCAGCCUUUACGGCUUGUACUCGCGGAGCUUGCCUUACCUUCUGGGGAUCUGGUGUGCUUUUAACUAAGUGUGCCAGCUAUCCAGGACUUUUACUUUGAGAAAAUUAGAGUGUUUAAAGCAGGCAUUUGCUUGAAUACAUUAGCAUGGAAUAAUAGAAUAGGACUUUGGUUCUAUUUUGUUGGUUUAGGAACCAAAGUAAUGAUUAAUAGGGAUAGUUGGGGGCAUUAGUAUUCAGUAGUCAGAGGUGAAAUUCUUGGAUUUACUGAAGACUAACUACUGCGAAAGCAUUUGCCAAGGAUGUUUUCAUUGAUCAAGAACGAAAGUAGG